GAUGAACGCUGGCGGCGUGCUUAACACAUGCAAGUCGAACGAAGCACUUUAUUUUAUUUCCUUCGGGACUGAUUAUUUUGUGACUGAGUGGCGGACGGGUGAGUAACGCGUGGGUAACCUGCCUUGUACAGGGGGAUAACAGUUGGAAACGGCUGCUAAUACCGCAUAAGCGCACAGCAUCGCAUGAUGCAGUGUGAAAAACUCCGGUGGUAUAAGAUGGACCCGCGUUGGAUUAGCUAGUUGGUGAGGUAACGGCCAACCAAGGCGACGAUCCAUAGCCGACAUGAGAGGGUGACAGGCCACAUUGGGACUGAGACACGGACCACACUCCUACGGGAGGGAGCAGUGGGGAAUAUUGCACAAUGGGCGAAAGCGUGAUGCAGCGACGCGGCGUGAGCGAAGAAGUAUUUCGGUAUGUAAAGCUCUAUGAGAAGGGAAGAUAAUGACGGUACCUGAAUAAGAAGCACCGGCUAAAUACGUG
rnacentral:rRNA from 1 species